GCACAAGCGCUCGAGCAUGUGGUGUAAUUCGACGCAACGCGAUGAACCGUACCUAGCCUUGACAUCGAUGUGACUACUGCGUAAUCGUANUAGUGCCGUCGGGAGCACAGUGACAAGUGCUGCAUCACUGUCGUCAGCUCGUGUCGUGAGAUGUUCGUUAAGUCCAGCAACGAGCGCAACCAUUAUCGCUACUUGCCAGCGCGUAAUCGCGCGAACUCUAGAGAGACAUGCCCGUGUUAACCGCGAGGAAGGCGCGGAUGACGUCAAGUCAUCAUGGCCCUUAUACCCAGCCCUACACACGUGCUACACUCAUAAAUACAGAGUGCAGCGAGCCAGUGACGGCGAGCGAAUCCCUAAAGUCCAUCUCAGUCCGGACUAGAGUCAUGCAACUCGACUCCAUGAAGUUGGAAUCGCUAGUAAUCGCAGAUCAGCAUGCUGCCAUGAACUAUC
rnacentral:rRNA from 1 species